AGAGAGUAUUCCUCAAGGUGGGUGCCACCACAGAGAAAGCGCAUCUCCAAGUGCUCAUUAGAUGAAUAUCUGUAGGACGUAGCAUAAUCAAUUCAUCCGAUGACCACAGCGGGUUGGUAUAUCUAUAUGGGGAUUCUGUAAUGUUUACAGCAUGGAUAAGGAACUUGUGGCCCUCCAAAUGUUGUUGGAUUACAGCUCCCAUCUCCCCUGACUAUUAGUCAUUCUGACAUGGGCUCCUUGGAGUUGGGAGUCCAAAAUCUGGAGGGCCAUGGGUUCCCCAUACCAGUCUAAAACAGCUACAAAAUCUCUCCACUGCCACACUGCAAGAGAGAGAGAGAGAGAGAGAGAGAGAGAGAGAGAGAGAGAGAUGGUCCUGGGGGGUUACCAUGCAGCAUGGUCCAAGUCCAGUCCAAGGUCAAGGGUGUGGUAUGGAGUCUGUCCGUCAAGGCUGAAGCAGGGUCCAAGGCAAGGAGUCAGGUGUGGUCAGGAACUCUGGCAGAAGAGCAGGACAGGGUGUCAGGAGGAACAGGCUACCAACAAUGUUGCUCCCGGAACUUGGGACUGGGGCUGGCUGGUUUUUAUCUGCCCCGAGGCAUAGGGUGGUGCCGGUCCACAGGUGACUCGCCUCUCCUGGCCUGGAGGCGAGCACUCUUCCUGCGGGAACUUAGUUCCCUCUGCCUCUCUGCCCUGAGCCUCUGCAGGUCAGGAGAGGCUGGAGGGUUACUGGACCCAGAGGCAACCUCAGUUUCUCCUGAUGGGGCUGAGAGUGGAGCACCUGCAGGCAAUGGGUCCUUGAUCACCUCCGGAGCCAGAGCAGAUUCAGCUGGUGUCUGCUCCUGAGGAUCCGGCACAGGUGAGGGCCCUUCAGGUUCAAGCCCCAACCCCGGCUCAGCUGGUCCUGGAGGCAGGGACUCCUGUGCAGGCUGGGAUUCCUCAGGUUCAGCCUCUGAAUCUGAUUCCCAGGCCAUCACACACACACAGAGAGAGAAGAUCCAAUGAAAGGACAUAGAGGUAAAUGAAAAUAUUUUCAGAUAAGGACUGGUCACGGUAGAGGAGAAAUUCAGUUCAGUGAGGAUUUAAAGCUGAAUCUAUUGUAGUCACGCUUUCUGAAACAAUGUGUGACCUGAAAUACAGGUAUCCUUCAGACUUUUCACUUAGCCGAAUUUUGCGAUGCCUUUUUCCAACCAUACAGUGUUUACAAAAAUGCACACAUUAGGGGGAAGUGUGCAUGAAAGUGAAGAUUUUUUUAUGAAAAUAGCAUGCAAAACUUGAUAAUAAUAGGGGAAAUUGCUUGCAAAAAUGUGUACAUUAGUCAAAACUGCAUAUUAGGUGUAUUUAUGAGGAUAUAUUUCAACUAAAAUGCUUAUAUAUUUUCGUGAUGAUUUAUUUAUUUACAUUUUAUUUUUAUUUUUUUAAAAAACAAGAUAGCAAAUUCCCGCAAAAUAUGAAGAAUGAAAUUUAAGAAUGGAAAAAGGAGAAACUGAGACAACAGAAAUGGACACAUCCUUUCACCCCCAGGGACCAGGUAUUUAGCAUCCACUACCUCACAUUUUAAGGGACGCGGAUGGCGCUGUGGGUUAAACCACAGAGCCUAGGACUUGCCAAUCAGAAGGUCGGUGGUUCGAAUCCCUGCGAUGGUGUGAGCUCCUGUUGCUCGGUCCCUGCUCCUGCCCACCUAGCAGUUUGAAAGCACGUCAAAGUGCAAGUAGAUAAAUAGGUACCGCUCCGGCGGGAAGGUAAACGGCGUUUCCGUGCGCUGCUCUGGUUCUCCAGAAGCGGCUUAGUCAUGCUGGCCACAUGACCCGGAAGCUGUACGCCGGCUCCCUCUGCUUAUAAAACGAGAUGAGCACCGCAACCCCGGAGUCGGCCACGACUGGACCUAAUGGUCAGGGGUCCCUUUACCCUUUUUACCUCACAUUUUACAUCCACACCAUCAGCCUUCCCAUUUUGCAGAAUUAAGAGAUGUCUAAAUGUUUCAGCAAGAUGCGGGUGGCGCUGUGGAUUAAACCACAGAGCCUAGGACUUGCCAAUCAGAAGGUCGGUGGUUCGAAUCCCCACAACAGUGUGAGCUCCCAUCUCUCAGUCCCUGCUCCUGCCAACCUAGCAGUUCGAAAGCACAUCAAAGUGCAAGUAGAUAAAUAGGUACCGCUCCAGCGGGAAGGUAAACGGCGUUUCCAUGCGCUGCUCUGGUUCGCCAGAAGCGGCUUAGUCAUGCUGGCCACAUGACCCGGAAGCUGUACGCCGGCUCUCUCGGCCAAUAAAGCGAGAUAAGCACCACAACCCCAGAGUCGGUCACGACUAGGUCAGGGGUCCCUUUACCUUUAAAUGUUUCAGCAAGACUCUUUAAAGUGUCAACUUUAGCAGAUGAGAGGUGCCAUUUGGGUUCUGCUUCUGGCCAGCACCACCAUAGCAGAAUUCAUCUUAUGCCUCAGUGCCUGCCACAAGCUGUUCUAGCAGUCUUAACAUCUGUUCUAACUUAACAUCUGAGUUCCAACCUUGAUGUUGCAGUUUAUAGCUCUACUUUGUUAUUUAAAUUUAUUUAUAGGCCACCUUGUUCAAAAAAGGUAGGACAAGGGGAGAACAUUCUUUCCCAGCCAAAUGUGAACUCCUACAACAUGGCUGUCUGUUCAGAUUUGGUAAAGGGAUUUGGAACCUUCUGCCCUCCAGAUGUUCUAAAAACUAGUGGAAAAUGUAAUUCGGACAGCGAUUCCACACAUUGAGGAUGGAUUUCUUCAGCAUGGAAGCCUACACAUGAAAGUUUUCCAUGCAAUCUGGAAUCCUGACUGUCAGACGCCUACUUUCAACAAUGAGGAGGGGAAAACAGCAUGAUGUGGGCUGGAGGUAGGGCCAGCCCCAAAUCCCAAUUUGUCGUUACUUGUGUGAAGCCUUCUUCACACAAUUAAUGCACAAAGAAGGCCAUGUCUUCUUGUUUGCUUAGGCCCUGCUCCCCACUGCCUCCUGUGUGGGACCAACUGUUAUCAACAUUCUGUUUCCUAUCAAACAGGAUGUCUUUAUAUAUAUCAAUGUCAUUUUUGUUUUAUUCACCAAGUUGUGUUCUUCUGCAUACUAAGGAAAUCUUUUGCAUAUGUGCUAGGUAAAGGGUAAAGGGACCCCUGACCAUUAGGUCCAAUCGUGGCCGACUCUGGGGUUGCGGCGCUCAUCUCACUUUAUUGGCCGAGGGAGCCGGCAUACAGCUUCCAGGUCAUGUGGCCAGCAUGACUAAGUCGCUUCUGGUGAACCAGAGCAGCACACGGAAAUGCUGUUUAUCUUCCCGCCGGAGCGGUACCUAUUUAUCUACUUGCACUUUGACGUGCUUUCGAACUGCUAGGUUGGCAGGAGCAGGGACCGAGCAACAGGAGCUCACCCCAUCGCAGGGAUUCGAACCACCGACCUUCUGAUCGGCAAGUCCUAGGCUGUGUGGUUUAACCCACAGUGCCACCCGUGUCCCUAUGUUCCGCAUCCCAUAUGUUCCCCUGAACUACUUAUUAAAGGGACAUUUCUCUUCUAUGAUGUUCUAUUCUUUCCCUCACCAGUCCAUCUUCACUGGGGUUUACACUCACUUAGGAUAGGAGUAGAAUCCUGCAGCUGAUCAUAAAAUAUUCUUAUGUAAAAGCAUGUUCCACAGAGUUCAAUAGUACUUACUCUCAAGAAAGUACGCAUAGCAUUACAAUCAUAUGAUAAUUAUCUAAGAGGCUUGAGUCUCUGGCACGGUUUAUAUUACCAAGCUUAACAAAAUCUGUUCUAAUAUUCCAAGUCAUCACAGCAAGCAAACCCUGUGAUUGCAAGGCAAUAUGAUGAUCCCUCCUGAUUGAUCAGGCUUUUUGCUUUGGCCUGGCACGCAGUGCCAGCUACUGAUGCCAUGGGCCUUUCCACUCUAAAUUUGGGUAGUGCGUACCUAUCUUCAGAAUCAUGAACUUUGCUGAACUGAAACAGUUUCUCCUAUCAAUUUAUUUCCGGUGCCUUUCCCCAAGAUGUUUAUGUGCUUUUAAUUUCUCAGACAAUCUGUUACUGCUAUGGAUUCCUCACACAUAUGAGGAAAGUUAUAAUUAAAGCCUAAUAGUAUCAUCUGAGAAAAGUUUUCCCUCUAACUUGGUAGCUAUCUUCAGCAAAGAAAGGGCAAGUCUGAUGGUACCAUGACUGAAUUCCCAUCUGCCACCAUUUCUGAAACAUUUGGCUCCCUAUAGGCUAAAUUUGGGAAAUAGUAACAAAUGCUUUUAAUAUCCAAUUCAGUCUUCUCUUGUCUCUUAAAUGGAGCUGUGAGAAAUGUCAAGAGGAUAAAUGUAAGAAUUAGCAAACAUUUUUACCCUUUUGGAAGCCCUGUGUCUGAUCUUGAAAAUGCAGGCAAAAAAAAAAAAAAAAUUUUUAAAUGCUGCUUUUGUAAGGCAAUCAGCUGCUAAAGUGUUCUGACUUACUAUUUUUGUAGACUUCUAGCAGAUAAUGCUGCCAAAAAAUAAUAUAUCAAAUAUUUCUUAAAAGCAUACCGUUCCCAAGCAGACUCUGUAGUGAUGUUUACAAGCAAACUGACAGACAAUUAAAUAUCAUUGUUUGUGGAAAUAAUUUCACCUGGAGGAAGAUUUGUAACAAGUUUUGUUUUGUUUUUUAAAAAGCGGGUGUCUGAGUGAGAGAGUUUAGUUAAGGAAAAUCUAUUUGCAAUGUACUAAAAAGCAAAUACCAAUAUGAAGAUUAGAUCCUGUACAUAUUGCUCCUGUAAGCUCUGAAAAUAGGAAUCAAUAUUUUCCCCUUUCCUCUACCUUUUAGAUAUAGGAAAGCUGCAAUAUAACCGAAAUCAUUUUCUGACAAGCAAAUCUUUAUUGCAUUACCCACCCUGGAAUAUAUCUAUAGGGGUUUUUUUUCCUGAGCUGGAAACAGUAAUAACCCAGAGAAGAACAUUUCAACUGUGUUAUCCUGUCAUCAACAUUUCAAGAAUCUUUUCUAGAAAAUAAAAUUAUAUUAUUGUUUUGGC